AAAUAAGAAGCAAUUCUUGCAUUUAGUUUCGACCUAAAAGUUUGAUAAAAAUUUAUCCUUAUUUA
rnacentral:tRNA from 1 species